rnacentral:rRNA from 1 species
CCUACGGGUGGCAGCAGUGGGGAAUAUUGCACAAUGGGGGAAACCCUGAUGCAGCGACGCCGCGUGGGUGAAGAAGUAUUUCGGUAUGUAAAGCUCUAUCAGCAGGGAAGAAAAUGACGGUACCUGACUAAGAAGCCCCGGCUAACUACGUGCCAGCAGCCGCGGUAAUACGUAGGGGGCAAGCGUUAUCCGGAUUUACUGGGUGUAAAGGGAGCGUAGACGGCAGCACAAGUCUGGAGUGAAAUGCCGGGGCUUAACCCCGGGACUGCUUUGGAAACUGUGAAGCUAGAGUGCAGGAGAGGAAAGUGGAAUUCCUAGUGUAGCGGUGAAAUGCGUAGAUAUUAGGAGGAACACCAGUGGCGAAGGCGGCUUACUGGACGGUAACUGACGUUGAGGCUCGAAAGCGUGGGGAGCAAACAGGAUUAGAUACCCCUGUAGUC